UACGUAGGGUGCGAGCGUUAAUCGGAAUUACUGGGCGUAAAGCGUGCGCAGGCGGUUCGCUAAGACCGAUGUGAAAUCCCCGGGCUUAACCUGGGAACUGCAUUGGUGACUGGCGGGCUAGAGUAUGGCAGAGGGGGGUAGAAUUCCACGUGUAGCAGUGAAAUGCGUAGAGAUGUGGAGGAAUACCGAUGGCGAAGGCAGCCCCCUGGGCCAAUACUGACGCUGAGGAGCGAAAGCGUGGGGAGCGAACAGG
rnacentral:rRNA from 1 species